rnacentral:rRNA from 5 species
AAUCCAUAGGUUAAUGAGGCGAACCGGGGGAACUGAAACAUCUAAGUACCCCGAGGAAAAGAAAUCAACCGAGAUUCCCCCAGUAGCGGCGAGCGAACGGGGAGGAGCCCAGAGCCUGAAUCAGCAUGUGUGUUAGUGGAAGCGUCUGGAAAGGCGCGCGAUACAGGGUGACAGCCCCGUACACAAAAGCGCAUGUGCUGUGAGCUCGAUGAGUAGGGCGGGACACGUGGUAUCCUGUCUGAAUAUGGGGGGACCAUCCUCCAAGGCUAAAUACUCCUGACUGACCGAUAGUGAACCAGUACCGUGAGGGAAAGGCGAAAAGAACCCCGGCGAGGGGAGUG